GGCUGGUUAGCUCAGCGGGUUGAGCGCGGUGCUGAUAACACCGAGGUCACGGGUUCGAUCCCCCUUCGGUCU
rnacentral:tRNA from 1 species